rnacentral:rRNA from 2 species
GAUUCGUCACACUAUCAUUAACUGAAUCCAUAGGUUAAUGAGGCGAACCGGGGGAACUGAAACAUCUAAGUACCCCGAGGAAAAGAAAUCAACCGAGAUUCCCCCAGUAGCGGCGAGCGAACGGGGAGGAGCCCAGAGCCUGAAUCAGCAUGUGUGUUAGUGGAAGCGUCUGGAAAGGCGCGCGAUACAGGGUGACAGCC